GUGGUUUAAUUCGAUGCAACGCGAAAACCUUACCACCUUUGACAUGGCAGGAAGUUACCAGAGUAUGGUUUCGUGCUCGAAAGAGAACCUGCACACAGGUGCUGCAUGGCUGUCGUCAGCUCGUGUCGUGAGAUGUUGGGUUAAGUCCCGCAACGAGCGCAACCCUUGCCAUCAGUUGCUACGAAAGGGCACUCUGAUGGGACUGCCGGUGACAAACCGGAGGAAGGUGGGGAUGACGUCAAGUCCUCAUGGCCCUUAUAGGUGGGGCUACACACGUCAUACAAUGGCCGGUACAAAGGGCAGCCAACCGCGAGGGGGAGCCAAUCCCAUAAAGACCGGUCGUAGUCCGGAUCGCAGUCUGCAACUCGACUGCGUGAAGUCGGAAUCGCUAGUAAUCGUGGAUCAGCAUGUCACGGUGAAUACGUUCCCGGGUCUU
rnacentral:rRNA from 1 species